rnacentral:tRNA from 11 species
GCAGGUGUAGUUUAAUGGUAGAACUUCAGCCUUCCAAGCUGAUUGUGAGGGUUCGAUUCCCUUCACCUGCUCCA